CCUGUAGACAUCCCAAGAAAGUAGUUUAAGUGAACAAGGUGGAAACAUUGAAUCAGAGGAGGAGGAUGCAGAUGAUAACAGAAUAACUGUAGCUGGAGCUUCUGCAAAGGAUGAGAGUGCAACAUAGUUCCCAUCCAGUCUGCUCCAUUGGUAAUAUCCCUGAACUGUGGUCAGGGGGGAUUCCCCCCCCCCCCCACUGAGCUGCUCUAAUGCCAAACUCCAGCUGGAUGAGACAAACUAAAGUUCUAGAUUCACUUUCUAUUAUUGCAAGCAGGCUGGAUGGCCCAUGAGGAACAUGUGUCUCAUAAUCAUGGGUUUUUCCCCAACAUCAAUCAAUCCCAAGUGACCCUUCCAGCUAACUCAGGAGCCUAAAGGGACAUCACUCUCUGGGAAGAAGGCAGGGAGGAGAAAAAGCAAAAGGAGGAAAUUAGUGCAAUGGUUGAGGCUCAGAGUACACCGGGGGGGGGGGGGGAAGGGGAAGGGAUUUCACAUAGAAGUAUUACAUUUUGCAAGUUAAACAAAUAAAUUACUUGAAACAAAACCAUUCCAGUUAUUUAUGGGUGUCUGAUGUGUAUCAUGUCAAGAGCAGCAUUAGGAGGACUCUGUUUGUGUUCUCCAAGAUGAUACAGGAGGGGUGCUAUGAAACCAGCUCAGAGACCCCUAGCACAUGAAAUGCUUACACCCUAGCUUCUUUGAUGGGGUACACAUGCUGGGUCUCCAUUUCAUCCAACAUGAGCCAGUAUUUGUUCCCAUACUCAGUCACCUCCUUGCCCCGCUCGUUCACAGCUUUCAUAGGAGGAUAAAAUGACACAAUCUCUUCUAAGCUCUUCUUCCUGAGGGGAAAAACAGUGUCAGAAUCUGAAUGGUCUUCUCCACAUGUUACUGAAAAACAGUUGCUAUGAGUCCUCUUUUUGGGGCAACAAAAAACUGACUGCUCUAAAAAUAGAAACUUCCAUAAUGAGGCAGCUCAGGGGCUGUAAAUCUAAGGGCUAUCUCUGUGCAGUCUGUAUUUUCUCUUUUAGAAUUCCUCUCCAUCUUGAGGUGCAGUUAGUCAUAACAGUGACUGUAAAAAAAAUUGCUGAUUUUAAUAGCACUGUGGAGCUGAUAUAGCUGUGGGGGAGCAAACUAGAGCCUAUGGCACCAUAAGGAAACCAGAUUCCAAUAGUGGAAUAUUCUAUUACCGUUGAUAAUGUAAGAGAAAAAGAUCAUGGCUACAUUUUUAGGUCUCAGGAGGAGAUUGGGUGUUGGGGGAAAUAAAAAACAAACAAACACCAGCAUAGUGAGCAAAUAUACAGUUAAAAUACUUGUCCUUUGGUUGCAAUUCUUCCCCCACAGCGUAAAAGUAACUUCCACUGGCUUCAGUGCAAAUUGUUUGAAUCCUGUAUGGGGGUGGAAGCAAUAAUGCCAGUGGACUUUAAAGUCUCACUUCCCCCCCUCAGUAUCCCUUGACUUUCAAGAGCUGAGCAAGUUUGAUCUGGAAUCAUGGAUGGAACAUAAAUGUGUCAUUUUUAGAGUGGUUUCAGUCUGAAAGUUGACUCUAUACAUGCCCGUUAUACACCUUAUUAUCCCAGAUAUAUCUUUACUGUAAUGUAUAGUAGUAAUGUUGCAGUGUGUGCAUGGAUGCAAGACUAAGAGGAAAGUGCACUUAAUAUAUAUGAAAAGAAAACAGUAAAAACACACUGAAGCCACAUAUGUUAAAAUGCACUACUAUGAAACAACUUAAUGUAAGAAACUAAUGAGAGAGAGAGAGUACAUGUAAGUGUCAUUUCAAAUAACCCUCAGUAAGUAUUAACCCGACUCCAGAAUAGUCAGCUGCAGCUAACAAUGUCUCUCUUAUGGUUAAAUUUCUAUAUACUGAUGUUCUCUAAAUCACAGGGGGAAAAAAAAGGAAUAAAAGUACAAGUUGUCCUAGAUACAAGACCCCCUCCUUCUCCAUUCCUUACUUAAGCUCUUCAUAACCUGGAUCUAAAGAACAGGCUACCAGAGCAGCAAGUUGAUUUAUUUCCAGAUAUUCUGACUCGCCAACAAAACAAAACAAAACAAAAAUCACAGGAAGGUUUGAUUCAUUUCAUUUUUGGACUAAUUUUUAAGUCUUCUUUGUGCGAAGGCAGAAUUCUGAAUUAAAAAACACCUGAGCUCUAACACACACACACACACACACACACACACACACACACACACACACAAAAUAUCCAUUUCUCGUACCUGGAAACAAGAUAGGUCUUUAUUGCACUGAUGAUCACUGAAGAGUCAUUCAGUUGCUGCAAAAUAGAAUGAAAAUAAACUUAAAAAGAAGAGAUGUUGAUGGAGUGAGGAGGAGGAGCUCAUAAGAAGCUCUGCCAAUUGAAUCCCUUUGGGGCUUAAGUAGUCCCCAAGUCCCUUCUUCUCUAAUCUUCCGUUUAUUUCCAUAGGCAAAUCUGCCAUACUACAGCCAUAAUAUAUCUAUUAUUCUGCUUGUUCUAGACCGGCCAACAGCGGAAACCAAAGAGGGUUUCAGUCUGAGCUAUUGGCAUUCUAGGGGGCAAACCAGCAUGGCAAGAAAAUAUACAGUUAGAACACUUGUCCUUGGGUCAUAAUUCUUCCGCCACAGAGUACAAGUACCUCCCACUGACUUUUGUACAAACUGUUUGAAUCCUGCAUGGGGGUGGGAAGAAUAAGACCAGUGGACUUUAAAGUCUCACCUUCCCCCAAACUCCCUAGCAGCAGCAUGGCUUGUCACUGCUAGGGAACAUUGGGCAUUGUGAGUGUUCAGCAAAAUAAGAGUGAGGCUAAGGAAGAGGUAGCUAAGUAUACAGCCAUAAAAUGAGGAACAGGAUGCUAAGCAACCUUGGAAAUAAAGUAGGCUACACCUGCACUGGGCUAGUGACCCAGUGCUAGAUGUAAACCCAAGAACUGUGGUUAUUUGAGAAGCAGAGACUCACCAGAGCGUUUCCAGCGUUGGCUAAAAGGAUGGGCACCUUUCUGUAGGAGGAGAAUUUGAUCUCCUUCCUCAUUACUGGGUUCACUUCCACAAUUUCAUAAGGCACCCCAUGGUAAUCAAGAAAGGCUCGAACCUUACUGCAGAACGGGCAGGUUUUGUAUUGGUACAGGGUCAACUGCAGGCUGCCUGCAGGGAGCUGAGGGAGGAAAAUGCCAGAAGUUUCUAUGUUCAACUUAAAUAUCAUCUCCUCCCCCAAUCGAUUUAUCUUUAUUUUAAAAUUGCUGUUGCUGAUAUUUGGUGUUCAGAUUAUAAUCUGGUCAUCCAAAUCAAAGCUCACACCCCUGGUUUACUAGCAUUUUCUUCCAAUGACAUUAUAAAUACUUAACUUUUUUGUAUAAUGAAUAUCUAAUUUUCUAAAUAUCCCCUUAUCCCUUUGUAGUAACUCCGAUCUCUUAUGAAUAUAUGGUUUUGCCAACUGAAUCCUAUAGGUUAGGGACCAAGUCAUCAUAAAAAUGACAUUCACAACUCCGCUUUCUACACAAAAAUCCAAACCAUCCAGCCUAAGAAAAUUAAACAAAUUAACCUUAAAAAACAACAAAAAGUAACCCCCCUAAAGUAAUAAAAUCCACAAAAAUCAAAACCAAACCCAUUCCCCAAGCAUAGUUUUUAUGCUGCAAAGGAAGAGGUGUCAGAGAUUCCAUGAAGUCCACUAGAGACUUUGCUAUUAUCUAUUUUAUGUGGAAGAUGCUCAAAUUCUACAGCAAUGGACAGCAGUAUAAAACCCUACAUUCAACAUUUUAUAAAAAAAAAAAAAAAAAAAUACCAGUGACUUAUACCAGGAAGCAAUGACUUUUUUUUUUUUGGUAACAGUGGUUGCAAGGUAUUGGUUGAGAACAUAUAAACUCAGAAUCUGAUCUUGCAUUGUUUGCACACCAUAUCUUCACUGAGAAUGCUGGGUGCACAAGGAAUAAAGCAUCAGCACAAUGCAAUUACACAACAGACAUUUAACGUGCCUUGCUUAUUAUUCAUACAUUAUAAAACACAUGCCACCAUUUUACCUUGUUUCUCACUUCCAUAGUCCCUCAGAGUAUUUGCAGGAAGUCAUUAGUUGAUGGAAAGCCCUAUGUAAGCGUACAGAAUUGUUGUUUUCCCUGUCACUUGACAACUACUUUUUUUUUUUUUAAAUUCAUUAAAAGCAAUUUGUAUAGUUACUCAAAGAAGAUAAUGUUGGGUAAUUUAGGCCUAGAUUUUAAUACUUUAAAUGUUGCUUCCUAAUAACAUCUAAUAUUAAGGAUAUGUGUGUGUUUCGAUCAAUAGAAAAAGUCUGCUAUUCGUAUUUAAACCUUUUCUUGAAGGGUUUGCCACCCCCAAAUACUGCAGCAUUAUGCUAGUGUAUGAGAACCAGAAAGUGAACAGACUAAAAGCAAAAUUGAAACGAACAAGACUAUUUUCUUUCUAUUGACUAAAGUUAGGUAUGUGUGUAUGUCUUGCAAGAUCAGGAUCUAUAAGUGUUUAGUUUUAAUACACAAGAGUUAUUAGUAAAAUUGGUAGACAUUAUUUGUUUAGGAUAUUGCAAUCUGAUAGCAUCACUUAGCAUGUAAUUCAUCCAUAGGCAGGGAAAACAUUAAUUAGCUAAUUAUUUUUAAAGUAGCAAUUAGCCUAGUCAGUGAAAGCUCCAAAAGGAUUUGCAGACAGUAAAUAGAAAAAGCAGCCACAGAUCAUUUGAGAGACUUUUGUAGCCUUUUAAUCUGGAGACUAGGCUAAAAUAUUAUCUGAAAAUGAACAAAAAUAGAAACGUCAUAUAGGAGAGAAAAUCUGUGAGGGGGUGAGGAAGAAACCAAUUUCAAGGUUCUUCCUGACACCCCCUUAAGAUUUCAUUAAGGAUGGGAGCCACGAUCUCAGUGUGCACCCCAAAAAUGGAAGAUAUUUGGGAGGCAAUAUAAUUGCACGGGAAGGACCAUCAUUUCAGAAUCAUUUGUAAGAGGGGGAUGGGAAAGCACCAUGGGACCCGGUGUUCCUUAGGGAUUGCAAGGAGCUUCUGGAUUUCCUGCAGUACUCUUAAAAAUGGGGGAAGAGGGAGGUUACCUUGGCUGCCUGCUGCUCUGCAAGGUGCUCCUGGGCCUUCAGGGGAUACUGGAAGCUCUGGAAGAGGCCAAAGGUG